rnacentral:rRNA from 1 species
ACACAUGCAAGUCGAACGGAAAGGCCUCUUCGGAGGUACUCGAGUGGCGAACGGGUGAGUAACACGUGGGUGAUCUGCCCUGCACUCUGGGAUAAGCCUGGGAAACUGGGUCUAAUACCGGAUAGGACCAUGCUUUAGUGUGUGUGGUGGAAAGUUUUUUCGGUGUAGGAUGAGCCCGCGGCCUAUCAGCUUGUUGGUGGGGUAAUGGCCUACCAAGGCGGCGACGGGUAGCCGGACUGAGAGGUAGGUCGGCCACAUUGGGACUGAGAUACGGCCCAGACUCCUACGGGAGGCAGCAGUGGGGAAUAUUGCACAAUGGGCGCAAGCCUGAUGCAGCGACGCCGCGUGGGGGAUGACGGCCUUCGGGUUGUAAACUCCUUUCGCCAGGGACGAAGCGUUUUGUGACGGUACCUGGAGAAGAAGCACCGGCUAACUACGUGCCAGCAGCCGCGGUAAUACGUAGGGUGCAAGCGUUGUCCGGAAUUACUGGGCGUAAAGAGCUCGUAGGUGGUUUGUCACGUCGUCUGUGAAAUUCCACAGCUUAACUGUGGGCGUGCAGGCGAUACGGGCUGACUUGAGUACUGUAGGGGUAACUGGAACUCCUGGUGUAGCGGUGAAGUGCGCAGAUAUCGGGAGGACACCGAUGGCGAAGGCAGGUUACUGGG